AUUGAACGCUGGCGGCAGGCCUAACACAUGCAAGUCGAGCGAGCGGCGGACGGGUGAGUAAUGUCUGGGAAACUGCCUGAUGGAGGGGGAUAACUACUGGAAACGGUAGCUAAUACCGCAUACCAUCAGAUGUGCCCAGAUGGGAUUAGCUAGUAGGUGGGGUAACGGCUCACCGUGGCGACGAUCCCUAGCUGGUCUGAGAGGAUGACCAGCCACAAUGGAAUUGAGACACGGCCCAGAAUCCUAAGGGAGGAAGCAGUGGGGAAUAUUGCACAAUGGGCGAAAGCCUGAUGCAGCCAUGCCGAGUGUGUGAAGAAGGCCUUAGGGUUGUAAAGCACUUUCAGCGGGGAGGCGUUACCCGCAGAAGAAGCACCGGCUAACUACGUGCCAGCAGCCGCGGUAAUAC
rnacentral:rRNA from 1 species